rnacentral:lncRNA from 1 species
UAACGAAGAAAGUAGUCACAAAGGACUCUAAGCCUUAGAACAAAAAGAUCAAUUCGCGUCCUCUGAUAAGAAUCUCUCAGAUUCUGUUCUUGAAUCUUCCCCGGCCGUAGCCUAGGAUUAAGAGCGACAUCCUCGAUGUCAAACCCCUGGAGGCACUCUACUCUCCAAUAGACGUUUCCUCACCUAGUCCCGGAGACCUAACCUCAAGGCUUAGAAAGAAUAAAGAUCGGGGAACCUGCUAGCGCAGAGAAUCAAUGCGCCAAAGCUAUCGGCGCUGACCGCGUCCAUCUUAUCUUCUACGGGGUAGGUAGAGAGGCUUUUGCUACAGCCGAUGGUCUUUAAGGAGUUAUACUCGUUUUACUUCAGCCUCUCAAAACAGUUUUUUAGGGUCAACUUCAAACGAUCAUAACUCCUUGUACAGGAAUAACUAGGUGGUCUACUUUAUAUUAAAUGAAAUCCCUUUGAAUUAGUAAAAUGUGCAGGAAACUACUGAGGCCUGCCAGUUUUUUGGGUCAACUUUGAACGAUCAUAACUCCCUCAAUAUAAUGAACUGGUUGAGCUACCAUAUAUCAAAAGAAAGAUCUUUGAGUCUUCUUUCCAAUGAAAUUGGUUUCAUCCAAAUCCAACAUCUGAGUAAGGAGUUAUACUCGUUUUACUUCAGCCUCUCAAAACAGAUUUUUAGGGUCAACUUCAAACGAUCAUAACUACUUGUACAGGACGAACUGGGUGGAUUAAUUUAUAUUAAAUGAAAGACCUUUGAAUUAUCUUUCUAACGAUACCAAUUUCACCCAAAUCCGAUAUCGGAGCAAAGAGUUAUGGCCGAUUUACUUUAGCCUAUCAAAACAGUCCACCAUGGACAGAUUCGGAUUUACUUAAAUUUUUAAGGGCAAUAUGGUCAUUUUCCAUCACCUCAUGGACGAAAAUUGGUCAUUAUAUACAUAUACUUAGCCUUAUAUCCACCAUUUAUCAUCCAAAUCAUUGAAGAAUAAGAAACCCUAGCCUAAGUUCAACUCCAAUUAUCUUGUGAUUCAACCGUAGAAAAUCCAAAUUGAUUCCGUAGUUGUGUUCACCGUCUCAAGGGCUUCGAGAAGCACCCCUUAUUUGUGCCAACAGGACUUCGAAAUCAAAAGGGCCAUUUUUUUGGUAAGGAUGUAAAUUAUGUUGGUGUUAUUUAUAUGGAUAUGUAUAUAUAUAUAUGCAUGUGAGCAUAAGAAGUAUGUUAUUUGAUUGUUGUUGAAAGAUGAUUGGAAAUGAUGUUGGAUUAUUCUUGUGCAUGGUUGGAUUAUGUUAAAUUGUGAAGGAAUUUGGGGUGAUGAUGUGGUAUUGAUGAUGUGGUAUUGAAAUGAUGAUUAUAUAUAUAUACACACAUAAACCUAUUGUUCAAGUUGGUUUUUGGAAUGUUUUGCAAAUAUUGGUAGUAUGGAAUUAUGGAAGAGAAUUGUGGUGUUGGGUUGCUAAUACUAGAUGCCAAACAUUUCAUUGUAGAUAAGUGAUUUGUAAAGGCGGGAAGUUGUGUUGAAUUGGUAUCUGAAUCUACAACGAGGUAUGUAAAGCAUACUCUAACAAUGUUCUUUGGCAUGAAAACACCAAUGUUCCAUCAAGUAAGAUUCCGAGGUUGUCCAAAAACAUGUAUUGUUCUACGUUACCAACGAAGUUGUUUCCAUUCUAUAAAGUGUCAAAAUGUUUCAUUGAUAUACCAAAAGGCUCUUAUUUCAUUGUUGUGAUAUUGAUGAUUCUGAAACACAUUGUUGAUGUACCAAUGAGUCUUUAUUACAUCGUUAUUGUAUAGAAGGUCUAUUACUUGGUUCCUAUUGAUGUAUCAUUGUUUCAAAGUAUCAAAAAUGUGGUGGCGACCGAAAUAACAAUCUCAAAGAUUAAUUGAACUAAGUGAUGGGAGUUCUCUCUUAUCGGGUGGUAUCCCAGGGGCAUAAGCCUAGCAUGGGUCGAUCCCUAUUUCAUGUGUUUAUGGGUGGUAUCCCAGGGGCAUAAGCCUAGCAUGGGUCGAUCCCAGUUGAUAUGUACUGGAGGCAUCCUAAUGGUCACAGUACAGUACAGUAAUGAUUACAAAGACGAUAAGAACGAAGGUAAAGUGAUUGAAUAAAUACAAUGUACAGGUUGUCACAAGUUCUAGUAAGUGUGGUCCACUCCUAUUACGACUUAUUCACUUGUUUCUGAUUUCUAUUGAGCUCCUAUAUCAUAUGUGAUUAUUUACAGCUUUACAUACUCAGUACAUAUUUCGUACUGACGUCCCUCACGGGGGACCUGCAUUUCAUGCUGCAGGCACAGGUACCUCAGCUCAUACACCGCACAAGUAGGAGCCAGGUCAUACAGCUAUUGUUGGUGAGCUCCAGUUUGCUUCGGAGCUUUCCGAGUCGGUUCCUUAUGUUUUGUUAUUGUACAUGAGUCAUGUGUGGGCGGGGGUUUGUCCCGACCCUAGUUAUGUCAUGUAUAUCCUAGAGGCUUUGUAGACAUAAGGAAGGGUAAAGUCAUGGAAGUUUAUAUAGUGAUGUUAUAUCUGUAUAUGUGGUGGCCCCGACGGCCAAGUAUUAUAUAUAUAUAUUUGCGCGUGUUGUGCUGAUACAGGUAAUUAGAUCCUUCUAUAUGCAACGAAGUGCUAUCCAAUUUUUGGUGACAUGUAAGUGAAAGUACAGGUAUUUGAACGGGUUCUCCCGGGCCUUCUCGGCUUCGGGUGCCAGUCCGGCCCGAUGGGAUUUUGGGGCGUGACAGACAUCUCUUCCUUGGUCUUCUAUACGUGUGGAGCAAAUCCAUAUUAUUUCGACCGACGGAAGAUCUCGCUACCGGGUGAGGGAAGAAGUACUGAGAGGUUCACUCUUUUCGCAUGACUUUCUUUCCUCGACAAUAACGAAGAAAGUAGUCACAAAGGACUCUAAGCCUUAGAACAAAAAGAUCAAUUCGCGUCCUCUGAUAAGAAUCUCUCAGAUUCUGUUCUUGAAUCUUCCUCGGCCGUAGCCUAGGAUUAAGAGCGACAUCCUCGAUGUCAAACCCCUGGAGGCACUCUACUCUCCAAUAGAUGUUUCCUCACCUAGUCUCGAAGACCUAACCUCGAGGCUUAGAAAGAAUAAAGAUCGGGGAACCUGCUAGCGCAGAGAAUCAAUGCGCCAAAGCUAUCGGUGUUGACCGUGUCCAUCUUAUCUUCUACGGGGUAGGUAGAGAGGCUUUUGCUACAGCCGAUGGUCUUCGCCUUCAGUGACUUCUCCUGGAGGAUGGUCAAGUAAAAGUAGCCGCUCAACACUCACGAGGGAGAUAGCCUACGCUAAUCACGCACCUCCAAAGAGGCAUCGAGACUGACCCGUUGAUGAAGCCCGGAAUAAAGAGACUUCUCACUCCUGUUAGUGAGAGAGUGGUCACAGUUCGUCACCUCGGGGGCUUCUCUGAAAGAGAGGGUAAGGAUUAAGGCUAGGUUAGGUCUACUCCACAAGAGCAAUCAGAAAUAAAGGACAGAGAGUCCCCUGUGAAGAUUUAUAGGCCAGGGUAAAGAUAGAUCGAAAUUCGCGCUCGGGUGUGAAUUGGUAGCUCACAAUCUAUGAAUUCACAUCGCCAGAAGGCUUAUAAAGGAUAGACAACUCCUUGGGUGACCGGGGGGCUCUCAAUCCUUUCACCUCGACGAGGCUAGGCCAGAGUGGAAACUCUCCGGAUAAAGUGUUGACCGCAAUCAGGGAGUUCCUACGCUUAACCAGAUUAUUAGUCUUGGAAAAACUCCUCGUCUGCACCUCCCAUAGAUAAUGCGACAUCGGUCGAGGUCGGUGGGAAUAAUCAAUUUCCUUGCACAAUGACUCAUACAUGCUUUAUUUAAUUGUAAAUUUGGCGUUCGGGCUGCCCAGUUGGACUAAGUCAGACAAGUCCUGAGAGUCCGGUGUUCCGGGUUGUGCACAAGAGGGCUGGGGAUCAUUCUCAACAAUCGGCGGCUCUUGGAGAAGGGGCACCCGACUCACUCAUAACCUCAUUAGAAGGAUUUAUUUAUUGACGUUUUGCAGCAGGCUCGCAUGAGGGACCGUCUGACCUUGCUCGUUUCCUGAACAAUGCCCGACGGCAAACACAAUAAAAGGAUAGGGAUAAGGCAAGACAACAGACCAGAGCAGUAGACCCGGCAUAACAAAGAAGGUUUUCCAUUAUUUAACUAGUUUAAACUAGGUACGACCAGCGCGGUUGUUCAUCUUUCAUUUUAUUAUUCCAAACCAAGGAAAUUCUGUGGGGACCUCCCUGGAAAUAGCAAUCCCCAAAAGGGGUUGUUCUUUCCUCGGGUAUGUAGUGGGAGAAGGAGACGUCCUUCGUUAUUACCACCAAUCAUAUCCCGAUUGGUCGAUGAGCUAUAUUAAUAACUCAUUGAUCAUAGGGUGGUUGAGCCAUGUGACUGAGGAAAAUAGUAGGAAACCUUGUUUCUUGCCCACAGUUGGGUUAUUGAGGUUCUCUCAAUCUUAGACUGAUUGAACUUCUGACCAAGAAUGUCCAUCGUCAAUCUGAGAGAAGGAAGAAAUUCCUUUGAUCUAUUCGGUGCUGGACUGUUGGCUAAUGAGAUCCCAUAUUUGCCUAAAAGGGCUUGUAUGGUAUCAAAUUGUCCGACAAUUCUUUGGUUCUCGAUACUUCUUUGUUGGAGGUAUGAGAUAUCCUUCUUUGGUCAGCCGAUUAGGUUACUAUAGAUCUUGGUUACUCUUUCCGUUGUCCUACUACUACAUAGUGUGGUUGGACUGCGAGUUUGAAUCCCGCAGAGUGACCUUCCCUUUAUGAUCACACCUUGCUUGGUGAUGAUAUCCUAAUCACCAAUAAGCAAGUGGCUCUUUCAGUACAGAAAAGUUACUGGAUAGACUCAGCGUUUGGACUUCUGAUUCAAAGUCACACAUCAGAAUAAGAAUGCUGGGUUUGCCAAAGGGAUGUUGGGGUAAAAUCCCAUCAUAUCACUGAGGCGAAUACUGUCCUGUAGGACAGCCUUUAAUCUGUGCCCUUUAACUGAUGAAUACCUGAUCGUAAUAGGUAUUUAGGAGUUAGUAGGGCUAGGAUUAAAGUCUUGUUCUCAUCUUCUCUCCAACCAUUUGGUAGGAUUGAGGAUGACUGUUAGUAAGCUUAACCGGUCACGUCCACUACCUUCAUAUAUUUGAUUGGAAGGAAAAAAAACCUCAAUCUAUGUUUGAAGGGAAAGAUAGUGGAUUUCUUCGAAGGAUAAAACCCAAGGAGAUACAUCUCUUUCUGUAGAUAUAGUGUUUAAUAGGGAUGGGCAUCAUUGGUCCCACUGUAACUCGUAAUGGGUGAGUAGUUCCAUAUGAUUUUUAGUACUAUACGGUUGUGUUCUCAAUCAAAGGUAUCUAUUAUCAUUUGAUGGAUGUGCCGUAUAUAGCACACUUGAAGGGUCCAACAAAGAUCUUGGUUUGAUCAAGUUCGGGCCUGAUCGAGACGUGUUAUAAUGUGGAAUCAGUGUGGGAUUGACGAUUACACCAAGGUACUCGGAAAUCUCUCACUGUCAUCCUCUUUGAUAAUGCAUAUUUGAAGGUUAUUCAAGAGGCAUCAGUAGACUUACCAUCUUCUGGUGAAAAGACGUAGUCUAUAAAGGAGCAAGCCAUAAGGACUCUGUAGAUCGCGAGAAUGCAUGUUCUAAUACUUGCACGGGCUCAUUUGCUUCCAACAAUCCAACAAAGUGAGUUUCACAGAAGGAAGGUGUAACACUCCGUAUUCAAGUACGUGUAUAGGCGUAUUCAAGUACGUGUAUUGGUCUUAUUUAUAUGGAAUUUAUUUUAUUUUAUUUUAUUUAUACUGGCACUCUACUCUCCAAUAGACGUUUCCUCACCUAGUCCCGGAGACCUAACCUCAAGGCUUAGAAAGAAUAAAGAUCGGGGAACCUGCUAGCGCAGAGAAUCAAUGCGCCAAAGCUAUCGGCGCUGACCGCGUCCAUCUUAUCUUCUACGGGGUAGGUAGAGAGGCUUUUGCUACAGCCGAUGGUCUUCGCCUUCGGUGACUUCUCCUGGAGGAUGGUCAAGUAAAAGUAGCCGCUCAACACUCACGAGGGAGAUAGCCUACGCUAAUCACGCACCUCCAAAGAGGCAUCGAGACUGACCCGUUGAUGAAGCCCGGAAUAAAGAGACUUCUCACUCCUGUUAGUGAGAGAGUGGUCACAGUUCGUCACCUCGGGGGCUUCUCUGAAAGAGAGGGUAAGGAUUAAGGCUAGGUUAGGUCUACUCCACAAGAGCAAUCAGAAAUAAAGGACAGAGAGUCCCCUGUGAAGAUUUAUAGGCCAGGGUAAAGAUAGAUCGAAAUUCGCGCUCGGGUGUGAAUUGGUAGCUCACAAUCUAUGAAUUCACAUCGCCAGAAGGCUUAUAAAGGAUAGACAAUUCCUUGGGUGACCGGGGGGCUCUCGAUAAGAGCACAACCUUUCGCCUCGACGAGGCUAGGCCAGAGUGGAAGCUCUCCGGAUAAAGUGCUGACCGCAAUCAGGGAGUUCCUACGCUUAACCAGAUUAUUAGUCUUGGAAAAACUCCUCGUCUGCACCUCCCAUAGAUAAUGCGACAUCGGUCGAGGUCGGUGGGAACAAUCAAUUUCCUUGCACAGUGACUCAUACAUGCUUUAUUUAAUUGUAAAUUUGGCGUCCGGGCUGCCCAGUUGGACUAUGUCAGACAAGUCCUGAGAGUCCGGUGUUCCGGGUUGUGCACAAGAGGGCUGGGGAUCAUUCUCAACAAUCGGCGGCUCUUGGAGAAGGGGCACCCGACUCACUCAUAACCUCAUUAGCAGGAUCGAUUUGUUGACGUUUUGCAGCAGGCUCGCAUGAGGGACCGUCUGACCUUGCUCGUUUCCUGAACAAUGCCCGACGGCAAACACAAUAAAAGGAUAAGGAUAAGGCAAGACAACAGACCAGAGCAGUAGACCCGGCAUAACAAAGAAGGUUUUCCAUUAUUUAACUAGUUUAAACUAGGUACGACCAGCGCGGUUGUUCAUCUUUCAUUUUAUUAUUCCAAACCAAGGGAAUUCUGUGGGGACCUCCCUGGAAAUAGCAAUCCCCAAAAGGGGUUGUUCUUUCCUCGGGUAUGUAGUGGGAGAAGGAGACGUCCUUCGUUAUUACCACCAAUCAUAUCCCGAUUGGUCGAUGAGCUAUAUUAAUAACUCAUUGAUCAUAGGGUGGUUGAGCCAUGUGACUGAGGAAAAUAGUAGGAAACCUUGUUUCUUGCCCACAGUUGGGUUAUUGAGGUUCUCUCAAUCUUAGACUGAUUGAACUUCUGACCAAGAAUGUCCAUCGUCAAUCUGAGAGAAGGAAGAAAUUCCUUUGAUCUAUUCGGUGCUGGACUGUUGGCUAAUGAGAUCCCAUAUUUGCCUAAAAGGGCUUGUAUGGUAUCAAAUUGUCCGACAAUUCUUUGGUUCUCGAUACUUCUUUGUUGGAGGUAUGAGAUAUCCUUCUUUGGUCAGCCGAUUAGGUUACUAUAGAUCUUGGUUACUCUUUCCGUUGUCCUACUACUACAUAGUGUGGUUGGACUGCGAGUUUGAAUCCCGCAGAGUGACCUUCCCUUUAUGAUCACACCUUGCUUGGUGAUGAUAUCCUAAUCACCAAUAAGCAAGUGGCUCUUUCAGUACAGAAAAGUUACUGGAUAGACUCAGCGUUUGGACUUCUGAUUCAAAGUCACACAUCAGAAUAAGAAUGCUGGGUUUGCCAAAGGGAUGUUGGGGUAAAAUCCCAUCAUAUCACUGAGGCGAAUACUGUCCUGUAGGACAGCCUUUAAUCUGUGCCCUUUAACUGAUGAAUACCUGAUCGUAAUAGGUAUUUAGGAGUUAGUAGGGCUAGGAUUAAAGUCUUGUUCUCAUCUUCUCUCCAACCAUUUGGUAGGAUUGAGGAUGACUGUUAGUAAGCUUAACCGGUCACGUCCACUACCUUCAUAUAUUUGAUUGGAAGGAAAAAAAACCUCAAUCUGUGUUUGAAGGGAAAGAUAGUGGAUUUCUCCGAAGGAUAAAACCCAAGGAGAUACAUCUCUUUCUGUAGAGAUGGUGUUUAAUAGGGAUGGGCAUCAUUGGUCCCACUGUAACCCGUAAUGGGUGAGUAGUUCCAUAUGAUGUUUAGUACUAUACGGUUGUGUGCUCAAUCAAAGGUAUCUAUUAUCAUUUGAUGGAUGUGCCGUAUAUAGCACACUUGAAGGGUCCAACAAAGAUCUUGGUUUGAUCAAGUUCGGGCCUGAUCGAGACGUGUUAUAAUGUGGAAUCAGUGUGGGAUUGACGAUUACACCAAGGUACUCGGAAAUCUCUCACUGUCAUCCUCUUUGAUAAUGCAUAUUUGAAGGUUAUUCAAGAGGCAUCAGUAGACUUACCAUCUUCUGGUGAAAAGACGUAGUCUAUAAAGGAGCAAGCCAUAAGGACUCUGUAGAUCGCGAGAAUGCAUGUUCUAAUGCUUGCACGGGCUCAUCUGCUUCCAACAAUCCAACAAAGUGAGUUUCACAGAAGGAAGGCUGGUUUGUCAAUGCUUGAACUGAUUGAUCUAAGUGAGCUACGAGGUUAGUCUUCUAAGAUCAACUUGCUUCAAAGUGCCCAAACAUUAUUUGUUAAUUGAAGGAAUGAUCCUAUCAGUGAUUAUGUACUAGGCUUAUCUAAUGAAUUGAGUCUUCCAAGAAAGGUUUCUAAUGAAUCUGCUAAUUGAGGUUCUAGAUUCGUUCAAAAGGCAGAAAGGAAUAGGCUAAGGGCCGUACCUUAAUGAUCCCUAACCAUAUUGAUGUUCCUGAGUUCUAGUCUUUCUGGUAGCCAAUGAUCUAAGGGAGCUAGCAGUGCAAAGAUACUCAAAAGUGGUACGCGCACAUAAAAAGCGGUUGGACGGUGUCUUUCUCUGUUUUGUUCCUUCCUCGGCAAGCUUGGGAGUUUCCUGAUGUAAGCUCCCUGGGUACGGUUUCGGAGUUUAUGUAAAUGCCCUAUCUUCAAAGGGAGCUGCUGACUUAAGGUAUCCCCUGAUCCGAGGGUGAGCUAGAAUUUCGUAUGGUGAAGAGGAAAGGAAGAAGUCAUUGUAAAGGAAGACGACAUUGACCAUUUCCGCUGCCUGCCUAAAGGCUUAUUGGUAGCUCUUAGGUUCUCUGUCAGUAGAGUGAUUGCCAAAACCUAGGUAUGUUUUCGGAGAAUAAUAAGAAGAGACGGUUGUAGCUUUUAGAGACUAUCCUCUGCAGCUGUAGCUACGUGGAAGCCAGCUGCUUAAAGACAAGCCCCCUAACCAUUCCGCUAUUCAUGCCCUAAAGCAAGGGAAUCCGCUCUGACCCACCACUAUGGUAGGAAUUGCCAGAUUUACAGUUUAUGAAUCCUUGUAAUACAAGUUCUUUCCUCUAACGAUGGCUACUUCCUAUUCAAGUGCCACUUAUCUUAACACAACUCGGGCUAAUCGACUCCCAGCCUAGCUAGACCUGGUGAAAGCAAUCAAGCCAAAGCAAGACUGAUUCCUUCAACGGUAAGAGCUGCAGAUGAAAUAGCAGUGGUUAUGCCGACAUUUUCCGUUAUCUUAUCGUUGGAUUACCGGAUUCCAUUCUUUCGGUU